CCCUUAGAUGUUCUGGGCAGCACGCGCGCUACAAUGGUCUUCGCAAACGGAUGCAUUCUCGAAGGAGAAUUCCAAUCUUGGAAUCUAUGCCUUGGUCGGGACAGUUGCUUGCAAUUUUUCGACUCGAACCAGGAAUUCCUUGUAAUCGUGAUUCAUCACAUCACGAUGAAUACGUCCCUGCCCUUUGUACACACCGCCCGUCGCUCCUACCGAUCGAAGAGUUAGGUGAAUUGUUUUGAUCGAUAAGAUUUGACUAUGGUCAACUCUCGUUGUGAAAUUCUGUGAAUCUGACUGUUUAGAGGAAGGAAAAGUCGUAACA
rnacentral:rRNA from 1 species